rnacentral:rRNA from 1 species
UAGGGAAUAUUGCGCAAUGGGCGAAAGCCUGACGCAGCCAUGCCGCGUGAAUGAUGAAGGUCUUAGGAUUGUAAAAUUCUUUCACCGGGGACGAUAAUGACGGUACCCGGAGAAGAAGCCCCGGCUAACUUCGUGCCAGCAGCCGCGGUAAUACGAAGGGGGCUAGCGUUGCUCGGAAUUACUGGGCGUAAAGGGCGCGUAGGCGGACAUUUAAGUCAGGGGUGAAAUCCCAGAGCCCAACUCUGGAACUGCCUUUGAUACUGGGUGUCUUGAGUGUGAGAGAGGUAUGUGGAACUCCGAGUGUAGAGGUGAAAUUCGUAGAUAUUCGGAAGAACACCAGUGGCGAAGGCGACAUACUGGCUCAUUACUGACGCUGAGGCGCGAAAGCGUGGGGAGCAAACAGGAUUAGAUACCCCGGUAGUCCCUGAGCGGGCUGGCAAGGCGCAU